UUCGAUUUGAAAAUGCUUUUUCUACUUCAACAAAAAAUAGUUUACUCAUAGGUUUAUUGACGUUCAUUUCAGACCGUCGGAAGAUCAAUUAGGCAUCGAUAAAUCUAUCCCCAUGAAGUUAUCACCAUAGCUGCCUCUUAGUGGAAUGAAAAAAUGAGUUGAAAAUACUUAUAUAAUAAAACGGAUGAAAGUAAUUUA